rnacentral:tRNA from 1 species
GCCUCUGUAGCUCAGUUGGUUAGAGCGCUGCACCGAAAUCGCAGGGCCGCAGGUUCAAUUCCUGCCAGGGAUC